UACAGAGGGGGCAAGCGUUAUUCGGAAUUAUUGGGCGUAAAGAGCGUGUAGGCGGUUUGGUAAGUCCGCUGUGAAAGUCAAGGGCUCAACCCUUGAAUGCCGGUGGAUACUGUCGAACUAGAGUCCGGAAGAGGCGAGUGGAAUUCCUGGUGUAGCGGUGAAAUGCGCAGAUAUCAGGAGGAACACCGAUGGCGAAGGCAGCUCGCUGGGACGGUACUGACGCUGAGACGCGAAAGCGUGGGGAGCAAACAGG
rnacentral:rRNA from 1 species